rnacentral:tRNA from 1 species
GGUUCAUUGGUCAAGUGGUAAAGACACCUUCCCUUACGGAAGGUAACAUAGGUUCGACUCCUAUAUGGGCCG